CUCAAUUGAACAUAUUCAAUUGAUUCAAUUCAAUAUGACCAUUAGGCAACUCCUGAUGGUCAUAAACCCCUAGCUGUACUGAAGGCUGGGACUUUACUAAGUCAUUACCUGGACAGCACAGUGGCUCUACACAAACCAGCAUUUCAUCUGUAAGUAAACCCAUUACAACAGAUGACCCAGCCAAACGUGUGCUACACAAAAAAUCUCAUCUUUCUAAAUGUAGAGGCUUCAAGGGAAUGCUCAUUCAAGAAAGAAAGGCAAUUCUGAAGAAAUAGAAUAGCAGCAAAUUCUGCAAGUGUUGCAAAGCUCUACAUUUGGCAAGGAACUGUAAAGAAGAGAUAAUCUGCACAGUGUGGACGUAAAAAACAUGUUACAGCUCUACACUUGGUGCUUUAAUUCAUAUCAUUCAAUGUUUCAGAAAAGGACAGAGUGAUGUCUCAACUGAGUCUAAAAGGUAGAAUUUGUGUCCCCCCACAUCUGUCAGUGCAUAUUCUCAACCACAGCACUACAGUCAUCCUCAAAACUGUUCAACAUGAAGUCUUUGGAGAAGAGCUGGAACUACUUCAAAGCAUUCCAAAGAACCACCCACUGUGGUCUUUGAACAAGAAGGGAGUCAUAAGGACCAGAGCUCGUCUUCAUAAAGUAAGUUUGGGAUCUGAAAAAGAAAGAUCUACCUAAUUCUACCUGGCCUUCAUCCUGUCACCACCCUGAUAGUUUGUGAUUACCGUGAAGAGACUCGACAUCAAGAAAGGCAUUUUACCGAAGGAGUCAUCAGAUCUGCAGGUUUUUGGAUCCUAGGAUGCAAACUAUGCCCAAAGACAGAAAGCCUCAGUGGGAAUACCAAGCAGCUCUACUAAGCUCCCUUCCUCAUCCACUGGACAAAGAGGCACUCUUCAAAGCUACACUUGGCCUUCAAUUAGUUGUCAGCAGUGCAGGCUUUUAAACCCAGCACUGUUUGGUGUUUCUAAAGCCUUGAAGAUCUCCUGCUCUCCAGCUUGCUGUAUCCAAAAGAAUGAACAGAUAUUCUGUAUAAGGUGUUAUUUGCUUUGGCACAUUGUAUUUAUUUCUGUCUAUUUUUUUUUCACUUGGAUCAUUUUGUAUAGAAGUCAGUUGUAUGAUUUUUUUUGUUGUUGUUUAAUAUAAUUUGGAGUUUUGAUAAUUCUUUCUUGUAAUUUGGUCCGUUAAUUUGUGACGCUGUUGGACCGCCUAUAAAUAGGCUGGGUUGCGCCAGGUAAAGCGCGACGCCCCCUCCCAACAAACACCCAGGAUGCGUUCUGACGCGGUGCGCACGUCUCCAGCCUGCCACGCGGUAGUUUUUGUUAGCCGUUUGUUUGGUUGAUGUUUUUUUUUGUUGUAAUUUUUGACCUGGUGGGACCGGUUGUCCUGUUUUUGAUUUUUCUUUAGCAGAAGUUUCUUUUUCCUUGUAGUCCGGUACUAGCAGGGGCUUCGACGGCCCUGUAUAGGGUUGGCCCCCUGCUGUACCGUUUUGUUCUUUUUGAUCGGCUCAUCAGGUCCAACUUUCUGUUUAUACUUUGGGAUUUUUGUUUUCUUUUUUUUGGGACACGGGGAACCGAGGAUUUAAUUCUCUCUUUUUCUUCACAGAAAAAUCAAAAGAAGCUCAUCUUAAAGAAAAAGGUCGAGAGAGUUGAAAUAAAAAUUACUUUUGAAUCCUCA